GUGGGGAAUUUUGGACAAUGGGCGCAAGCCUGAUCCAGCAAUGCCGCGUGCAGGAAGAAGGCCUUCGGGUUGUAAACUGCUUUUGUACGGAACGAAACGGUCCGGGUUAAUACCCUGGGCUAAUGACGGUACCGUAAGAAUAAGCACCGGCUAACUACGUGCCAGCAGCCGCGGUAAUACGUAGGGUGCAAGCGUUAAUCGGAAUUACUGGGCGUAAAGCGUGCGCAGGCGGUUUUGUAAGACAGGCGUGAAAUCCACGGGCUCAACCUGGGGAUUGCGCUUGUGACUGCAAGGCUGGAGUGCGGCAGAGGGGGAUGGAAUUCCGCGUGUAGCAGUGAAAUGCGUAGAUAUGCGGAGGAACACCGAUGGCGAAGGCAAUCUCCUGCGCCUGCACUGACGCUCAUGCACGAAAGCGUGGGGAGCAAACAGGAUUAGAUACCCUAGUAGUCC
rnacentral:rRNA from 1 species